AUCUUGUUUGCCACAUCCAAGGCAUCAUAAUCUGGAGUCAACCUUACAUAUGCCUUCUUAGUUCCAUCAGGCCUGAUCAAAGUAUUGACUUUCUUGGUGUGAAUGUCAUACAUCUUCUUCACUGCAUCCUUGAUCUUCUUCUUUUCAGCACGAAUGUCAACAAUAAACACAAGUGUGUUGUUGUCCUCAAUCUUCUUCAUGGCAGACUCGGUAGU
rnacentral:misc_RNA from 1 species